AAAAUAUUUUGUUUAUUUUCAAAGUAUAAAAAUAAUUAAUGAAUAUUUUAAUUUAUUUUUUUGAUGUUCUAGUAAAAUAGUAAAAAUAUAAUACAAUUUUAAAAAUAUUUAAACAAAGUGAAGAAGAAUCUUUGAUAAAUAUGGUACAAAAUAUCUUAGAUUGAAACGAAACAAAACAAUCCGACAAAAACAAAUAUGAAUUUGCAGAGUGCGAAACCAGCUAUGUCGUCAAUACAACACACACUGCCUUGUUUAACUACAAAUAAUGUACCUAAUAUGUCUUUGGUUAAGACAACAACUACAAAGGAAAAUAUAAAACUAAAUGAGCGAAGAGAACCACGGACACAAAAUAAAAAGAAUUUAAGCGUUAGAUUUACCAGUGAAACGAAACAAGACAUAUCGACAAAAAAAAAUAUGAACAAGCAAAGUGCGAAAUCAGCUAUAAAAUCAAUAAAACACACACCACCUUUUUUAACCACAAAACCUGUGCCAUUGGUGAAAACAAACACAAAAAAUAAAAAUAUCGCUUCAAACUCGUCAGGAGAAUUUAAGAAUAAGUAUUACCAUUGACUAUAAGUAGUAUUUAUAAUCAAUGGUAUUACUUUGUUAUAACAUAAUCUAUAAUAUUUAUAAAAAAUGUUUUACAUGUAGGUAUUCAUAAAAUGCAUUGAAUGUAUUAUAGUAUAAAUUAAUUAUAUAAAUUAUUAAAUAAACAAAUAUAAAAAAAAA